rnacentral:rRNA from 1 species
UACGGAGGAUGCGAGCGUUAUCCGGAUUUAUUGGGUUUAAAGGGUGCGCAGGCGGAGGUGCAAGUCAGUGGUCAAAUUGCGGGGCUCAACCCCGUACUGCCGUUGAAACUGCAUCCCUUGAGUGCGCGAGAAGUAUGCGGAAUGCGUGGUGUAGCGGUGAAAUGCUUAGAUAUCAUGAAGAACUCCGAUCGCGAAGGCAAGUGUCCGGGGUGCAACUGACGCUGAGGCUCGAAAGUGCGGGUAUCAAACAGG